GGACCACUCGCCGCGGUACAUCCACCUGCCCUUCGUCUCCACGCCCAGCCCGUGGCGCUUGCCCUGCGCCCAGUAGCCCAGAUUUUUGCAUUGACAAGUCUCAACUUUAGUUCAAGCCACAUCAUAUUUGCUUCUCUCCACGGUGGUGAACAAUGCCAGUCCUCCUAGGCUUUCCUCACAGGAGAAGUGCUCCAUCGCCCUAAUCAUCUGGUCCUCUGGACCUGCUCCAGCAAGUCAGUGUCCGUCCUGUAUUUCAUAACAAUAUGGAUGACUAGGCUGGGGAGAAGAAACACCUCUACAUGAUUGCCCUUGGUCUGUCUGAACAAGUCUGAAGAAGGAAAUACUCUUCUCACCGGUCCUUCUUUCUUUAUUGUGUUAUAAGAUAGAUACAUUUCCUUGCCUUUCCGGGUAUCUAAACCAGGCAACAAAAUGUAAUUCAAACACAGAAGUCCGUGUGUGAUAUUAAAUUGAUUAGCUGUACCAAGAAAAGCGGAGUAGUGGUCUGUGUGGUAAUUGACAAAACGACAACAUUUUGAUUUAAAGGCAAAAGGGAAAAAUACAAAACGGAAACCUGAAAGAGUGCCUAGUUAAUGUAAAUUUAAAAAUACAGUUGAGUUACUAUAAGAUCCAGCUGUGAGGAACAGCUGUACAACAGCCUAUGCAGGGAAUUGCGAGAAUAUCCAUGUACUGGUGAAUCACAGGUUGAAGCCCUUGUGCAUGAGAGGAUAUUCCAGCACUCCUACCUUAGACAUGUUUCUUAAAGAGAAGUAAAUCCAACCAUAAUGCCACCAACUGCAUUCUUCUUGUCAGUUCUAAGCACAUUCUCCAGCUUUUUGAAGAAUAACAAUUAAAUUAAGUUCUCCCAAAUGUGGGAUUUUCCAUCAGUAAAGCUGAUUGCUAUCAGCUGGGACUUGUGAGAAGCCUCUCAUCAUGCAUGACCUUCUGAAGAGAUUAUUUUGUUUUGUUACUCUAGCAGGGGGUGGUCUCUGAGGAAGGCGUGGGGCUGCUCUUGUGCCCACUCCCAUGACCAAUACAGGACUGGAAGCUGGCUUUUUGUUUCUUUCCUUUUUAUUUAUAAGAUUUGUCCAUUAACUUGUCUCAGUGACUUAAAUCCAUUCCUUUGCUUAACAUUAGUCAAAAUUUCUCUUAAAUGUUCUUGUUAUUGGGAUACAGCUCUCAACAUACUAGGUUCAGGUCUUCAAGAUACUGAUCCUGGGGUUCAUCUGUUUUAUAGAAAUGGCAUGUGGGACUGAGUUAACAGGCUUACCUGAGACAGUCACCUUUACUGGGAACUGAACAUUCAGAAUGAAGAGAACAAUACUCUGGACUCUGUAAUCUCACUGAUUUUUUUUUACUUUGCUAGAAUCUGCCUGAUGUUGCUGAGAGCAUCUAAUGUUCUAUCAGCAAUCACAUCUUCUAAGCCAUGUCCGGUGUAAGAUACAGAGGAGGCAUUUCCUGAUGAUGUAAGCCAUUGUUAGUUAUCAAAUGCUUUUCAGAAAGGACCUUGCUUCACAUGGGGAAAAUGAAAAAAACCCUGCAAAACUGUUAGAUUUUCUAAUUUUGUCUAGAAAAAAAUAAUAAUUAAGAAACUUUCUCUCUUGAGAUUGAAAGAACACAUCUGGAGGCAAAAGAAGUUAAUCAAAAGCUUUGUUCGUUUUUGCUAUGCAAUAUAGGAUCAUUUUGCAAUAGAAGAUCUAUGCCCACAGGGUCCA